GAGUGCUGACGAGCGGCGGACGGCUGAGUAACACGUAGGAACAUACCCCAAAGUGAGGGAUAACCACCAGAAAUGGUGUCUAAUACCGCAUGUGAUCUAAGGAUUAAAGCUCCGGCGCUUUGGGAAUGGCCUGCGUAAGAUUAGCUAGUUGGUGAGGUAAUGGCUCACCAAGGCGACUAUCUUUAGCUGGUCUGAGAGGAUGACCAGCCAGACUGGGACUGAGACACGGCCCAGACUCCUACGGGAGGCAGCAGUAGGGAAUUUUCCACAAUGGGCGAAAGCCUGAUGGAGCACCGCCGCGUGCAGGAUGAAUGUCUUCGGAUUGUAAACUGCUUUUAUAUGUGACGAAUAUGACGGUAGCAUAUGAAUAAGGAUCGGCUAACUCCGUGCCAGCAGCCGCGGUCAUACGGAGGAUCCAAGCGUUAUCCGGAAUUACUGGGCGUAAAGAGUUGCGUAGGGUGGCGAAGUUAGUUGGUA
rnacentral:rRNA from 1 species